rnacentral:rRNA from 1 species
CAAUAGCGUAUAUUAAAGUUGUUGCGGUUAAAAAGCUCGUAGUUGGAUUUCUGCCGAGGACGACCGGUCCGCCCUCUGGGUGAGUAUCUGGUUCGGCCUGGGCAUCUUCUUGGAGAACGUAUCUGCACUUGACUGUGUGGUGCGGUAUCCAGGACUUUUACUUUUGAGGAAAUUAGAGUGUUUCAAGCAGGCACACGCCUUGAAUACAUUAGCAUGGAAUAAUAAGAUAGGACCUUGGUUCUAUUUUGUUGGUUUCUAGAGCUGAGGUAAUGAUUAAUAGGGAUAGUUGGGGGCAGUUCGUAUUUAACUGUUCAGAGGUGAAAUUCUUGGAUUUGUUAAAGUACGGAACUACUGCGAAAGCAAUUUGCCUAAGGAUGUUUUCA